rnacentral:lncRNA from 1 species
CGAUGAAGGCUCGGGUGAUCGGUAGUCGGAUCACCUUACUGGGGGUGACGAGAACCCCGAAUGACUGGCAGAGGCCCGUGAUCAACACUGGAAACCCCAGGGCCCUAUUAGACUUAUCCGGGUCCAGAGGGUGCCUGGUGGGUGGCUUACCUGCAAACAAAUAUAUGGCAUCAGCAAUCACCUGGGUACAUGGAUGCUCAUUCGUGUCAGGAUGGCAUACACCAACUGGCACUUAGGUAGAG